rnacentral:rRNA from 1 species
UCGGGAAUUUUGGGCAAUGGGCGAAAGCCUGACCCAGCAACGCCGCGUGAAGGAUGAAGUAUUUCGGUAUGUAAACUUCGAAAGAAUAGGAAGAAUAAAUGACGGUACUAUUUAUAAGCUCCGGCUAACUACGUGCCAGCAGCCGCGGUAAUACGUAGGGAGCAAGCGUUGUUCGGAUUUACUGGGCGUAAAGGGCGCGUAGGCGGCGCGGUAAGUCACUUGUGAAAUCUCUGAGCUUAACUCAGAACGGCCAAGUGAUACUGCAGUGCUAGAGUGCAGAAAGGGCAAUCGGAAUUCUUGGUGUCGCGGUGAAAUGCGUAGAUAUCAAGAGGAACACCUGAGGCGAAGGCGGGUUGCUAGGCUUACACUGACGCUGAGGCGCGAAAGCCAGGGGAGCAAACG